GGGCUGGCGGCGUGCUAAUACAUGCAAGUCGAGCGAGCUGAACCAACAGAUUCACUUCGGUGAUGACGUUGGGAACGCGAGCGGCGGAUGGGUGAGUAACACGUGGGGAACCUGCCCCAUAGUCUGGGAUACCACUUGGAAACAGGUGCUAAUACCGGAUAAGAAAGCAGAUCGCAUGAUCAGCUUAUAAAAGGCGGCGUAAGCUGUCGCUAUGGGAUGGCCCCGCGGUGCAUUAGCUAGUUGGUAGGGUAACGGCCUACCAAGGCAAUGAUGCAUAGCCGAGUUGAGAGACUGAUCGGCCACAUUGGGACUGAGACACGGCCCAAACUCCUACGGGAGGCAGCAGUAGGGAAUCUUCCACAAUGGACGAAAGUCUGAUGGAGCAACGCCGCGUGAGUGAAGAAGGUUUUCGGAUCGUAAAGCUCUGUUGUUGGUGAAGAAGGAUAGAGGUAGUAACUGGCCUUUAUUUGACGGUAAUCAACCAGAAAGUCACGGCUAACUACGUGCCAGCAGCCGCGGUAAUACGUAGGUGGCAAGCGUUGUCCGGAUUUAUUGGGCGUAAAGCGAGCGCAGGCGGAAGAAUAAGUCUGAUGUGAAAGCCCUCGGCUUAACCGAGGAACUGCAUCGGAAACUGUUUUUCUUGAGUGCAGAAGAGGAGAGUGGAACUCCAUGUGUAGCGGUGGAAUGCGUAGAUAUAUGGAAGAACACCAGUGGCGAAGGCGGCUCUCUGGUCUGCAACUGACGCUGAGGCUCGAAAGCAUGGGUAGCGAACAGGAUUAGAUACCCUGGUAGUCCAUGCCGUAAACGAUGAGUGCUAAGUGUUGGGAGGUUUCCGCCUCUCAGUGCUGCAGCUAACGCAUUAAGCACUCCGCCUGGGGAGUACGACCGCAAGGUUGAAACUCAAAGGAAUUGACGGGGGCCCGCACAAGCGGUGGAGCAUGUGGUUAAUUCGAAGCAACGCGAAGAACCUUACCAGGUCUUGACUCUAGUGCAUCCGUAGAGAUACGGAGUCCCUUCGGGACCUGACACUAAGACAGGUGGUGCAUGGCUGUCGUCAGCUCGUGUCGUGAGAUGUUGGGUUAAGUCCCGCAACGAGCGCAACCCUUGUCAUUAGUUGCCAGCAUUAAGUUGGGCACUCUAAUGAGACUGCCGGUGACAAACCGGAGGAAGGUGGGGAUGACGUCAAGUCAUCAUGCCCCUUAUGACCUGGGCUACACACGUGCUACAAUGGACAGUACAACGAGGAGCAAGCCUGCGAAGGCAAGCGAAUCUCUUAAAGCUGUUCUCAGUUCGGACUGCAGUCUGCAACUCGACUGCACGAAGCUGGAAUCGCUAGUAAUCGCGGAUCAGCACGCCGCGGUGAAUACGUUCCCGGGCCUUGUACACACCGCCCGUCACACCAUGGGAGUCUGCAAUGCCCAAAGCCGGUGGCCUAACCUUCGGGAAGGAGCCGUCUAAGGCAGACAAGAGUG
rnacentral:rRNA from 1 species